UUACAUUAAUUCAGUAUAAAUGAAAUAUCUGUUUUGAAUUCACAAUGUAAUUGAUUUAAAUCCGAUUUAAAUUGCACAAAUUUAAAACAAAACGUAUUUAAUUACAAAGUUGAAAAAUAUAGAGAAUUGCUAACAAUGAAUCUGAUAAGCGUUCUGACUGUAGUGUUGUUAGUAAUUCAUCUGCUGACUUCCAUAUUCGCACAAAUAUUAGCGACGAUACGUCCUCCGUCCGAAUUUAAAUUGCACCUACCGCCUAUAAACACCGGAGAUAAGCCCUUCACAUUCAGGGCAUCGCCUUUAGUGUCACCUGGCGGAAAUCUUGUCGGAGGGGUCGGAAAGAUCAUUUGGAACCCGCCGGGUACUGACAACAAGAUUAGCCGAACUAUGAAAUGGAGAAACGGAGAGAGCUGGAGCUUCGGUACGAAAGGGGAUGUCGGGGUCGGGCGGCAAAGGAAUACACGCAUCUUAUGGGACGUCAAUCAUAGACCGAACACAGGGUUGUCCGGUCAAGUCGGCGUCCGACUUAUCAUUGGCGGCGGAGGAAGUUCAUCACGAAGAGGCGGCGGAGGUGGCAGCCGCCAUGAUCGUUUAAGAUCCAUUCAGGAAGAUCAAUGAAGUUGUCACUGGUUUUGUGUAUUGAAGUGUUCAAAUAUUUCAAAUGAAAACGUUUUAAUCUU